GAUGAACGCUGGCGGCGUGCUUAACACAUGCAAGUCGAACGGUGAAGCAGGAGCUUGCUCUUGUGGAUCAGUGGCGAACGGGUGAGUAACAAGUGAGCAACCUGCCCCUGACUCUGGGAUACGCGCUGGAAACGGCGUCUAAUACUGGAUAUGUGAUGUGACCGCAUGGUCUGCAUCUGGAAAGAAUUUCGGUUGGGGAUGGGCUCGCGGCAUAUCAGCUUGUUGGUGAGGUAAUGGCUCACCAAGGCGUCGACGGGUAGCCGGCCUGAGAGGGUGACCGGCCACACUGGGACUGAGACACGGCCCAGACUCCUACGGGAGGCAGCAGUGGGGAAUAUUGCACAAUGGGCGGAAGCCUGAUGCAGCAACGCCGCGUGAGAGAUGACGUCCUUCGGGUUGUAAUCCUCUUUUUGCAGGGAAGAAGCGAAAGUGACGGUACCUGCAGAAAAAGCACCGGCUAACUACGUGCCAGCCGCCGCAGUAA
rnacentral:rRNA from 1 species